GAUGGAGCGACACCGCGUGCAGGAUGAAGGCCUUCGGGUCGUAAACUGCUUUUUGGGGGAAUAAUUCUGAAUGUACCCCAGGAAUAAGCACCGGCUAAUCAUGUGCCAGCAGCCGCGGUAAUACAUGAGGUGCAAACGUUACCCGGAUUCAUUGGGCGUAAAGAGUCCGUAGGUGGCAAGGUAAGUCAGAUGUUAAAUCUUGAGGCUCAACUUCAAGCUUGUGUCUGAAACUAUCUCGCUAGAGUCUUGGAGAGGUGAGUGGAAUUCUACAUGUAGGGGUAAAAUCCGUAGAUAUGUAGAGGAACACCAAAAGCGAAGGCAGCUCACUGGCCAAGUACUGACGCUAAAGGACGAAAGCAUGGGUAGCGAACGGGAUUAGAUACCCCGGUAGUCCAUGCCGUAAACGAUGAUCACUCGGUGUUGGGAGUUCGACCCUCUCAGCGCCUAAGCAAACGCGAUAAGUGAUCCGCCUGAGUAGUACGGUCGCAAGACUA
rnacentral:rRNA from 1 species